CGUAUCAUUUGGUAUCAGAUUUUGGGCGUUUUGGGUGUUCUUGGUUGAUUUCUAAACUGAUCUCUAUUUUUUAAAGCACAAACAGCAGUUUUACCCAGAAAAAUUGUUCAAAAAAAAUUCAUUUGGGUGGGUAAACGUUGUCCGAUUGAUCUGAAAUUUUACAUACAUAUUUGUGGCACUGUGAUUGAAUAUAAAAAAAUUAUUCCCGCAAAAAAAUCAGUCAAAAAAGUCAAAAAAUCAAAAAAUACGAAAUUCAAUAAAAAAUUAAAAAAAAGAUUCAGCGGGUUGAAUUUGGUGCCCAAAAUUUCCAGAUCAAAAAUUCAAUAUUUAAGGACAUUCCAGAUUUAAUUUCGUGAUUUUUAGAGAUCGGGAACACCUCGAACGAAGUUGUCAAGUUACUCCGCAGUUUUUCGGGUUUUCUGGUUUUAGCAAUUUUUAUUGAUUCUUAGCUGUAGGUUUUCAUUUGUUUGCUUUUUAUUCUUCUGUUACGUUAUCUAACACCUUAUUGUUUCUUGUGUUAGUAGGAUUUACACGUGUGCACAACUUCUUCCUCGGUGCAACACGAAUCAAUUGGUGUCUCGUCAGUUUUUUGGCAUCCUAGUGCAAAUUAGGAUUCUUUGGUAGUUUGGUUCAUACUCUCUAAUUGGUUGAUAUAAACUCUG
rnacentral:lncRNA from 1 species